rnacentral:rRNA from 1 species
CCCUUAGAUGUUCUGGGCUGCACGCGCGCUACACUGACUACUUCAACGAGUUGUUUCCUUGAUCGAAAGGUCUGGGUAAUCUUUGAAAGGUAGUCGUGAUGGGGAUAGAUUCUUGCAAUUUUUGAUCUUCAACGAGGAAUUCCUAGUAAACGCAAGUCAUCAGCUUGCAUUGAUUACGUCCCUGCCCUUUGUACACACCGCCCGUCGCACCUACCGAUUGAAUGGUCCGGUGAAUCUUUAGGACUGUGGCUGAGGCCUUGCCUUGUGCGGGUCUGGCCGUGGGAAUUUAGUUAAACCUUACCAUUUAGAGGAAGGUGAANUCGUAACA